UACAGAGGGGGCAAGCGUUGUUCGGGAAUUACUGGGCGUAAAGCGCGCGUAGGCGGCCCGGUAAGUCCGCUGUGAAAGUCCAGGGCUCAACCCUGGAAAGCCGGUGGAUACUGUCGGGCUCGAGUCCGGAAGAGGCGAGUGGAAUUCCUGGUGUAGCGGUGGAAUGCGCAGAUAUCGAGGAGGAACGACCGGUGGCGAAGGCGGGAUCCUGGGCCAGUACUGACGCUGAGGAGCGAAAGCGUGGGGAGCAAGCAGGAUUAAGAAACCCCGUGU
rnacentral:rRNA from 1 species